rnacentral:rRNA from 1 species
CGACCGCGAAAGCGGCGCUAAUACCGCAUAUGCUCUACGGAGGAAAGCAGGGGACUCUCUAGAAACUGGAAACUAGGGGUCUAGUUUCUAGAGAGCCUUGUGCUAGGGGAGCGGCUGAUGUCCGAUUAGCUAGUUGGUGGGGUAAAGGCCUACCAAGGCGACGAUCGGUAGCUGGUCUGAGAGGAUGAUCAGCCACACUGGGACUGAGACACGGCCCAG